rnacentral:lncRNA from 1 species
UCCCCUGGUGGCCAUCCAUGGAUGCGGCGGUGGGCUCUGCUUCCUCAUUAGAUUAAAUUUUGGUAUUACAUUUUUUAGCACUUAAUGUGAAUGUUCUAUAGUCUCUAUUGUGCAGGCGGGUCUACUCUCCCUCUUGAGGCGAGUGUGGAUGUAAUGGAUAUUGAUUGUGGUUGUUCGGACAAAAAUAUUGCAUGGAAACAUUAUAUACUGAUGGUGAGACUUCCAAUUCCUUUAUGUUUUGUCCGUUUAAUCAAGAACAAUGUUUAGAGCUUACAUGGCUGUCUAAGUUUAGUGCUGUAAGAGAAAUAUUGAUGUCAUGCAAUGAUCAGUGUGGAGUAGGGUAGUUUUUCUUACAAAGUUGUUCCUCAGUUCUCAUUGAGCAAAGAUUGAACGCGUGUGAUUUGAUCUACUACCAAGUCAAAUCUCGGUCCACAUUGUCGGAGUUUUCUUAUUAAGUUUUUUUUGUUGCUAUUAGUAUUUUCAUUUAUGCAGAGGGGCCGGGUAUAAUGCUUAAACCUUUUAAGUAAUAAAGCUCUCUUCAUCGAAAAUAAUAGUAUUUUCAUUUAAACUGGAAGUUUAUGUGAAGAAGGAGCUGUGUUGAAAUGUAUGAGUUUGUUUUCCUAUUUUUUUUGGAAGAAUGAGACUACCAUUAACAGUAUCAAGUUUGUAGCUGCUCAUCGUCUCAUCCAUAAAAAAAGGUUGUAGCUGCUCACGUAAUAUUCACACAUCGUCGGUGGCAUGUCAGUGGCAGGCGGAAGGAAGCUUCUGUUUGACAAAUCUCAUUUUUCUAGCAACUACAAGAAAUCAGUGAAGCAGUAGGAAGUAGGAACACAGUUCAGAAGAUUAUCUGAUGACAUGAUAUGCUACCAGGUGCCUUUUAGUGCGUAACAAAUGUAACUUCUUCUCCAACAAAAAUAAUAAUGAGAGGCAAAAAAAUGAAGCAUCUUGAGUACCAUCCGCAGAUACAUAUUUUGUUCCAUUAGAAAAUACAACUAUAUUUUAUUACAUUUAGGUCAUGUUAUAUCGUGCAUGUGUGUUACAGGUGUUUCUCUCUACUUUGUGCUCCAGAUUUGUUUUCCCUGCAAUAUGGCAGAUUAAUGUAUAUUCUUCUGAAGUCAUAGUACAUUGUUUAAUCUGGGGUUUACUCCGGUGUCAAGUGUACUAUAUUGCUAGAUUUAACUUUAAUCUACACGAGUUGCUCUGUAGCUAUUUCAGCAUAAAUGGUUCAUCAUACUAGGAUUUAAUUAGUGAUCUAACUUCUGUUGCUUCUUGGUGAAUAUGAAAUAUAUUGUGUUUUCAUGGAAGCAGGAGAGGAGUAGUUGUGGAGCGGGUCGUGGGAGAGACGGUUGGUUAGCAUGGGCUGGACGGGAAGGUGAUGCCUGCGAUGGCGACCAAGCCGGCGGGUAGGGCAGGGGCGACUGUGGCCAUUGUGGUGUUUUCAAGGGAGAGCGAGGCAACUGCAAUCACGCAACUGAAGAAGUCGAAACCCGGGGCGAAGUUGGCCAACAUGAAAGCUGACAAACCUAAAUGCCGGUGAUAGGUUGUUCGCUGCUGUCGCGCCGUCUUUGAACUUGGUGGAGAGGCAGAACGGCAGAAGGAGAACGGUGGCGCCGUGAAGACCUUGACGACUGCUGCCAUGACCACAACCAUGAUGAUUGUGUUGGUAAUAAAGAUACUAAUUAUAUACAAAUCCCCCAGCUUUGAAAACAUUAGAUUAUCCAACUUAUUAUUCAAAUUCUUGAUUCAAGAUAAAUGGAAAUUUCCUAUAUACAAUGAGCUUAUUAUUUUUUUUAGAAAAGGAGGAUGACACCCGGCCUCUCCAUCUGGGAGAUGCAUACGGUCACUUUAUUGAUUAUUCUCGAGGACCUUACAAAGUAUUACAACAAUAUGCCUGAAUCCAUCAUCUUGGCAUCUGCCGCUACUUCUAUCCAUACAAUGAGCUUAUUAUUGAAGGUUGCAUCGAUUAUGCUAUUAUUACUGAAAUAAGAGGCUUAUGAAAUUUUCAAUCUUUGUGUACCUUGUAAUAGUGAUUGUCAAUCUUUGUGUACCUUGUAAUAUUGACACGUGGAUGCGUGAAGUUGAGUGAUACUCCCUCUCUAAAGAAAUAUAAGUGUUUAGAUUACUAUUAUCUAAACACUCUUAUAUUUCUUUACAGUGAGAAUACUAAUACUAUUUAUAAAUGGAUGAUAUAUAUCCAGUUAUAAGUUCUCGGGUGGCGAGCGAUUUGGCUGCUUAAGGAGAUAGGAAGAUUGCCGAGAAGGAAAAAAAGUGGAAGAGAAUUUAUAUUUGUCGUUCCAUGAUGAAAACUGGAUGUAACCGCUUAACCCGUAUUUCUAAAUUAGAAGAAUAAUUUGAUCAAUGUGUCCAUAUUUUUAUUAUUCCGUGGCAACACAUGGGUAUUCUGCUUUUACCCGUAGCAACGCACGGGCAUUGUACUAGUAAGAUAUAAGAUGUGGGACUUGGCCACAUGACUACAUUGCACUAGUUGGCACUGCCAAAAGAAGGAUUGUGAGGCUUUUCAAAUAGUUUGCCACUUUUAUAAUUUAAAAAUGCAUUUAAUCUAUUUGUUUUAGCCAUUGUUUUUUCAGUUUAGGGCACUUAUACAUUUUGCAAAAUGUUGGUUCACCACCAAUAUUAGUUAUGGAUUAUUUGGCACAAGAUGAACAUUUUAGAUUUCAUGUCUGACAAAUAUGAAUUUUUACUUUAGAUUGGAUUUGAAUUUGAAUUGCGAUUCGGAUCAAGUGAAGAUUAGCAACAGUAUCAUGAUGACAUGGCACCAUUAACAGGGGAUUACUGUAGCAUGACACCAGGGGUGUUACAAAUCUCCUCCACUACAAGAAAUCUCGUCCCGAGAUUUAAGGGUUGGAGUAAGGGGGGAAGACUCGGGAAGGACGAAGCUCAACACAACAUAGGUACCUGGGGCUCUCUCGGUGAGCGUGGCAUAGAGGCAUCUCCCGAGUUGAAAUUCAAGAAAGUCAUCGAGAGCAAGGUAAGGAGGAGCAAUAAGAAGCUUCAACCGGGUAGGCAAUCGUUUGAUGUCUGAAAUAGAGGGUGAAAAGGGUUCAAAGCAUCGAGAAUAAGUAUUGCAUCUGAUACCAGAACGGAUCACUAGGAAGGUGGCUCGUGAUUUACAUACGAAGCCCAGUGCGAGGAACAAUUUUUGGAAGACGGGGAUGUACAUGAGAGUAAGAUUUUGAUCCUAUGGAACUGUGGGUUAUGGGCCCACCAUGUGGGUUAACAGCAGGAAGGCGCUAAUCAUUUUGCACGGUCAUGAUAACAAGGCAGUUCGGAGUAUUGCCUGUCAGUUAUGUCAGCAACAAUAUCGGUACCAAGGGCGAGGGAUAAAGAGCAUGUUCCUGCUUGUUAAGACGAGGCGGACCAAUAGGCAAAGUUCUCGUCCAUCGGUGGCUACCGGAAUGUCAUCAACAAUAGUAACAAGGCCUUACUGAUAGAGUUUGUACACCGAGGUGUUUACAUAAGCAGGUAAUUAUCACUGCUCAGAUAUGUUAGGUUACAAGAAAGGUUAACAAAACAAUGGAAAGGGAAGUGUAGACUCGAACCUAUUAUCAGUGUUCUCAAGUGUCUAACAACUCAGAACCCAUGGAAAAUUGGAAUCAGAGAAAUAAUAGUUGAUGAAGAACUCAUAAGAGGUUAUGUAGUUCCGUGAUAUUCUCGUGAUACCAGAGGGUAAUACUCAAGGGUAUAGUAGAACAGAGGCUGGACGGGUGAAAUGCUCUUCAGAAGACAAGUACUUCCACUUGUCCGAGAAAUGGGAUCAAAAAAGAACAAUAUGGCCGGAACCACGGUUGCAAAGGACCGAACAUAGAUACAAGAUGAACUUAUCACAAGGGGAUUAGUAUUAUAGCGAGGAGCUUCCAUGAUAGGAUCUACAUCGUGUCCAUGGGCACGAACACAAUGUUCAAGGUCGACUCCCACUUCUCCAAUGCAUAACCUUCCAUUCACUCCUCGCAUUCGAAGAAGUUGUAGCAUUGAAAUUUUACCUGGCAAAAAGCUAGUAGAGUACACCCCGCAUAACUUUCGAGUUCACACGGAUUUAGGGAAGACAUAGAUUCAACCCAUUGGGGCAUCUUAGGAACAUAUACCACAAAAUUUAGGAAUAAAUAACUCAAGCUCGGAAGUAGAGCAUGGUUGACAAAAUCAGGGGAUACAAUUUACCAAAGGCAUUAUGUAUGCGAGGAAAAGCUCACAAGGUUACUGAAUAUGAAGGACGUUGUCGGAUAAACUCAACAAAGGAUCUAGUGGUCCACAAGGGAUCCGAUGUGAGCAUUGGUACUCAACCAGAAGAAGAAAGAAUGCAAGGAGAUCAGACUAUAGGAGCAACUGACUAAUUAAAGCUCAAAUGCAAAGGAAUUAUGAUUUCCAAAUCAAGGGAUCAGAAGCAAAUGCUCUGAUUAAGGAUGGAUAAGUUGAAUAGACUCAGAAUGACAAUCAAUCAAGGCUUGAUUCACCGAACACCAGCUCAUGUCCGGAGUGAUGUCUGAACCAAGGGAAGAAUUUUAAACAGGACUGAUGAUCGCGAGCAUUCACAAAAAAAUCGAAUCAAGUACUCGAAAUUAUGAUGACACGGGAUGCUACCCAUGAGCCCACAACUCCCGAUACCAAGGCCGCCACCCUUCAUCCAGACCCUCCAGAGACCAACAAAGGCACGAGCUUUGAGCCAACCGGCAGAUCCCUAGCCAUCGGAACCGCCGAUGACCGGCCCGCCCUGAACAAUGAUCAACAACAAGUAGGCACUAGGCCAGGAAAAGGGGAGGGGCAACGGAGCUCGUCCAAACCGGUGCACCCCUGUGCCAUUGAUAGGUAGUCGGUCUAUCCGUCCCUCCAGCACCCUACCUUACAUCACCCCUGAUGCCCUACCAUGGCCUCCGACCAGAACCACGUGAGUAAGAGGAAGCCACCCUUCCGCCGGCGAGGGCCACCUUAUCGACCGCACCCUGUUGCCAAAGAAGGCCUCCAAAGGAGCGGCAACCACCACCACACCACCUACGUCUCGAUGCCCUGGCCAAGUCUAGACGGUGGCCCCGCCGCCCCCACCAGGGUAGGACAAACACCAGCUGCAACACUGCCACCUUAGAAGGGCCACCGGUCACUCCUACCGCUUCCAACCGCCACACCUAGCUGGAUCUGGGCAGGGGCUGCCAGAUCCACCGCCAGCACUCCCCCGAGCCUCCAGAUCCCCACGAACUGAGGAGAAGGGGGUAUGAGGGGAGGAGGCGGCACCGACAGACAACUCGGACGCCAAGAGGAGGAGGGAGGUCGGAGCAGAGGCCAGCCGGUGCCCGACGCCACCGCGCAGCGCACCUCUGGAAGUUUGCCACCCGCACGCGUUAGGAAGCCGCCCCGCCGCCACCUGCGCCACGCGGCCUUUGGCCAGGAACGCCACCUGCUACGACAAGGGAGGGGGUGGGGCGAGGAGAUGAGGGAGGCAACGCUAGGGUUACCUCCCGGGGGCGCCACGCAGGAGCGCCUCAGGACGAGAGGGAAAGGGGUGGGUGAGGUAGUCCUGGAUAAGGGGGUAUCCGGACAGCCGGACUAUACACUUUGGCCAGACUGUUGGACUAUGAAGAUACAAGAUUGAAGACUUCGUCCCAUGUCCAGAUGGGACUCUCCUUUGCGUGGAAGGCAAGCUUGCCGAUUCGGAUAUUAGAUCUCCUUCUCUGUAACUGACUCGGUGUAACCCUAGCCCCCUCCGGUGUCUAUAUAAACCGGAGGGUUUAGUCCAUAGGACAAUAACAAUCAUAAUCAUAGGCUAGCUCUUAGGGUUUAGCCUCUAUGAUCUCGUGGUAGAUCAACUCUUGUAAUACUCAUAUCAUCAAGAUCAAUCAAGCAGGAAGUAGGGUAUUACCUCCAUCGAGAGGGCCCGAACCUGGGUGAACAUCGUGUCCCAGUCUCCUGUUACCAUUAGCCUUAGACGCACAGUUCGGGACCCCCUACCCGAGAUCCGACAGUUUUGACACCGAUAUUGGUGCUUUCAUUGAGAGUUCCUCUGUGUCGUUGCUGUAAGGCUCGAUGGCUCCUUUAAUCUUCAACAACAACGCAGUCCAGGGCGAGACUUUUCUCCCCGGACAGAUCUUCGUGUUCGGCGGCUUCGCACUGCGGGCCAACUCGCUUCGCCAUCUGGAGCAGAUCGACAGCUACACCCCUAGCCAUCAGGUCAGGUUCGGAAACUCGAAUUACACGGACGAUAUUCGCGGAGACUUGAUCUUCGACGGAUCCGGGCCUACGCCAGGAGCGCCAAACAGUCACGACAAGCAUGACUUAAAUCUGCUAUCGGACAGUAUUCGGGAUAUCGCACCUGCAGCAGCUCCGGACCUAAAUCCGGGGCAGGUCGCAUCGUCCGAGGACGGGUGGAUGGACCCCGCCACGGAGGUCGCAUACUCUUCGGCGGCAGAGCCGAACACAGAUUCGGCUGUUAAGGAAAUCUGCAUCGCCGGACCCCCGGACUUGUGUCCGGAUGUGGGUUCCGAACCGCGUGCGCCCGGGCCCAUCGUGUCCGAUCGGGCCCCGAUAAUGGAGUUCAUCGUUGCGGAUAUCUUUCAGCACUGCCCCUUCGGCGACGUGUUGAAUUCAUUAAGGUCUCUCUCCUUGUCAGGAGACUCUUGGCUGAACUAUGUACGGCUCGAGUGGGAAGCAGGCGACGAAGAAAUUCGUUACCCACCCACCACCCACUUCAUUGCCACUGUCGAUGAUUUGACCGACGUGCUUGACUUCGACUCUGAGGACAUCGACGGUAUGGAUGACGAUGCAGGAGAAGAACAGGAACCACCGCCCACAGGGCGCUGGACAACCACCUCCUCAUAUGACAUAUAUAUGGUGGACACUCCCAAAGAAAACAAUGGCGAUGAGGCAAUAAAGGAUAACCCCUUAGGGAAGCAAUCAAAGCCUGGGUGUCAUCGGCACCGCUCUAAGCCCCGCUACAGCAAUACUGGCACAAGAGACGAAAACAAUCCGGAUGGUGCCGAAGAGGAAUACAAUCCCAAUCAGCCUACCUUCGAGCAGGCCGAACAGGAAUAUGGGCAGGUUAGCCCAGAUGAAUAGGCGACGGACGGAUACUUGGAGGAUGAUAACUAUAUGCCUCCCUCCGAAGACGAGGUGAGCCUCGGCGAUGAUGAAUUCGGUGUACCGGAGGAUCCCAUAGAGCAGGAGCGCUUCAAGCGCCGGCUUAUAGCCACUGCAAAAAGCGUGAAAAAGAAGCAGCAGCAACUCAAAGCUGAUCAAGAUCUGCUCACAGACAGAUGGGCCGAAGUCCCGGCAGCCGAGGAAUACGGACUCAAGCGCCCCACCAAAGACUACCCAAAGCACAAGUUGCUACCUCAACUCGAGGAGGAGGCUGUAGAGCCUACACUACCAGCACAGGACGAGGCUGACCGGCCACCUCGUGGCCAAGAUAAAACGGCGUAUCAGCCCAAAUACCAGCCCACACCCCCACACCAAUUCACUACGGCCUGGGGCAAUACGCAUGACCUGCGAGAUAUAUUGGAAAACAACGCAGGACAGCCAACAUUGAUCUACGGAUCACGGGGGCGCGCCCCAACAUUUGACGAUGACCGUCAUGCCAGAUACACUACCAACAAGUCCGGCCUGGCCGAACAUCACUAGCCAGACAUAGUCGCACUGCGUAGCGACAUAGCCCGGCACAGAGGCGCCGCACACCCCCUCUGCUUCACUGAUGAGAUAAUGGAUCACGAAUUCCCAGAAGGGUUUAAACCCGCAAACAUCGAAUUAUACGAUGGUACAAUAGAUCCUGCGGUAUGGAUCGAAGAUUUCCUUCUCCACAUUCACAUGGCCCGCGGCGAUGAUCUACAUGCCAUCAAGUACCUUCCCCUUAAACUCAAAAGACCAGCCCAACACGGGCUGAAUAGCCUGCCAGCGAACUCCAUCGGCAGUUGUGAAAACCUGGAGGACGCGUUCCUCAACAACUUUCAAGGCACCUAUAUGCGACCACCGGAUGCUGAUGACUUAGGUCACAUUACCCCGGAGAGUCAGCCAGGAGAUUUUGGACUCGGUUCCUAAUAAAAAAGAACUAAAGCGCCGAAUGUCCAGAUACCAAAGCCAUAGCAGCCUUCAAACAUAAUAUCCGGGCCGAGUGGCUCGCCCGAUACCUCGGCCAAGAGAAACCGAAGUCCAUGGCGGCCCUAACGACACUCAUUACCCACUUUUGUGCGGGCGAAGAUAACUGACUAGCUUGCAGUAACAAAACAAACACCCCUGGCGCAUCAGAGGCCAGAGAUAGCAUCCAUAAACCUCGACGCAACAAACAUAAGCGUCACAAGAAUAAUGAUGACGCCCGCAACACGGCAGUCAAUGCCGGAUUCCGUGGCUCCCAGUCCGGUCAGCGGAAAAGCCACUUCAAAAAAGCAAUUCGGGCCCAUCCGGCCUGGACCGCAUACUUGACCGCCCAUGCCAAAUUCAUGGUACCCCAGGAACGACAGCCAAUCAUACCAACAGAGAAUGCCGGGUCUUCAAACAAUUCGGCCGGUCACACACCGAAAAAAAUAAAGGGGUCUCAAAGCAAUGAAGACAACGAGGAUCCCAUACCAUCAAGCAAUACAGAGCAAAAGAAACUCCUACACAAACCAACAGGGUGAGCGUUAUAAACAUGACCCUAGAGGUUGUCUCCGGAUCAACAAAUAAUCACCAUACCGAAGAGUCAGUCUUCGACACUAUCCCCCUAUACAGUAACUAUUACGUACUGCCGGGACGAACCACGUUGGCUCAAUUCAACGUGGUACCAUACCAGGCCCACGUGACAUAGUCACAAUUACGGGCAAGGCCGAACCCCACUUCAGCGCCGAAGAGCAUACGGCCACUGAAGUAGCGAGUUGUGCCUCUUUACCGAACCUCGAUUUGACAUCCAACCCCCCGGACACCAAUAAAGGAGUCCGAACUACUUCAUGGCAGGAUAGCUCGGCUUGACCAGGCGCCGGUCAAACACCACGUCAUAAGUUGGGAGGGCCACACCCUGCGGUUCAACCGCUCUGUGGCACACAAACGUCUCUCAGCAUUUUCUUUGCAGGUUCGCUUUUGCGGAUAAUAGGACUGGCGUCAUGAAAUCGGCUCGGACGUGCAAAGGGGGAAUCUUUGAACACUCCCCCCGAAGACAAUCCAGACAUACUUUGGAUUCACACACAGCUCCCUCCCGCCCGGUCUAAGCAGGUUACGCCGUCAUACCUCCUUUUUAUAACAUGAACAAUACCCAUACACAUAGACGUAUUACUCGAAUACAACAUGUAGAGUUAUAUGACGCUUAUCUGCUGUUAUUUCUCAUUGACAUUUUUAGUCAUAACGGCAUCCGAAUAUCGUGUUAUGCCUUAAAACGCCAAGGGGCUUCAUUGUACCUGCACUAUGGCAACAAAGUCCGACCACCUUCUCGGUCGCUCGGCACCCCGAACUUAUAGCAUUAUAUGCAUAAGCUCCGAAUCAUGUCUUGGGUCAUUAGUUGGGUUUUCCCGGCUCCCAUGUUUUGAUACCUUACGUUCCGCAAUAUCGGCUAAGGUAGCGCUGGGAGAACUACUGCGAUUGUGUCCUGAUUCUUCCAGACGAGCACCUCAGUAGAGAAAGCCGAAAACUGACUGUCAUGAUAAGGUGAGAGCUGGUCAGCUGUUCGAGAGGUUGUAAAAUCUUUAAGGAUUUAUUCCGCAUAAUGCCAUAAUAAAUGCAGAGUGCGACGGAUCGGUCUACCGAUCAGGUGCUAUUAGAGCCCUCGUGCGGUCUUCCGAACACCAGGGGCUGCGCCUACCAUACUCGAAUUCUUAUGGCCAAGUGAGAGUGAUAAAGCCCUAUAGUCUGAUUGCCUGGUUCGCUGUGCUGACCACCUCCUUUAUGGACCCAAGAAUGGGGUAAAGAGUGUUCAGGUGUAUCCCGAAUACCCCCGUACUUCCUACGUGGGGGCAGAAGCCGACGACUGGCCAACUCUCAAGAUUAAUAUAUAAAAUGGCCGCGCAGGAGGAAAAACUUUCAUAUAACAGGCAGUACAUAAAUAAAGGUGACUUUGUUCCGCCUUACAAAGGACAACAUGAUUGCCUUCAUGGAAAUACAAUGUCUUUGGUACAUUGCUCCGCCACAAGGCGGGCUCCUUUCAGGACACCAUCGUAAUAUAGUUUGGGCUUGCGGUGCUCCUUCCCCUCAGGCGGUCCCUCGGUUAUCAGCUUUUCAGCAUCCAGCUUUCCCUAGUGCGCUUUCGCGCGGGAAAAUGCCAUUCGCGCACCUUCUAUACAGACCGACCGCUUAAUGACGUCAAGUCGAGGACAAGCACUCACAAUUUGCUUCACGAGCCCAAAGUAACUGCUCGGAAUGGGCUCGACGGGCCAUAGCCGGACAAUCAAGUCCUUCAUGGCUAGUUCGGCCGCCUGGUGCAGUUCAACCAGCUGCUUCAGCUGAUCGACAAAUGGCACCGGAUAAUUCGGCGCCAAAUACUGCGACCAGAAGAGCUUUUCCGCAGUCUUCUUCUCCUCAGCUCGAUAGAAUUGAGCAGCAUCAGAUAUGCUGCGUGGAAGCUCCGCAAACGCCCCGGAGAAAUCAGAAGUCAAUUUGUCACCUUGAAUUUCUCCUGUUACGGAAUAAAAAUCGCUUUGCAUAAGAAAAAGCCUUACCAGCCGCAAUCUUCCUCGCCUCCUGAAUGUCCUUCAGAGCACCUUGGGCUUCCUCCCGAGCAUCAGUUGCGGCUUGGAGAGCUUGCGCGAGUUCGGAUUCUUUCAAUGAUAGACUCUGCUCCAAAGUCUCGCUUUUCUGCACGGCGUCGUGAAGCUCUUGUUCAACUUCAAUGACCCUGGCCUCGUGCUUCUCGCAAAGGGCCUACUCCGCGGCUGCCUUCUUUUCGGCUAAGGCCACAACCUUCUUCAGCACCUCAAUUUUGGCAUUCGCCCCUAGAGCGCGCAAUAUAUAUAUACUUUCAUUAGGCACACCUACUUAAUUGUGCUAAACUUAAUAAGGUUUUGACAUACCUUGAUUGUCCUCCAACUGCUUCUUCACCUAGCCAAGUUCUUCUUCGGCCCACUCCAGACUCUGCUUUAGUCCGGAUACUUCCGCAGUAUGAGAGGCGGCAGUCGCUGCAGACGCCUGUUUAAUGUUUAUAAAGGAAGAGAUAUAUGUCAUGCACUGAGUCUCCUAUGGACGGAAAUUUGAUCCCCUGUCUGGUUCCUUCUUUCACCGGACAGUGUAUCAGGGGCUACUAUCUAUACUAUGACAAAUCUUCUAAAAACUCCUAAAACAUACCUCCAAGCCUUUUAUAAGGCCGAUGCAGGAUUCAUUCAGUCCACUUUCAGUGGCCUAAACCUUCUCAAUCACCACGCCCAUAAGGGCGCGAUGUUCAUCGACGAUGGAAGCACUCUUUAGCGCUGUCGAUAAGCUGCCCUGCACCUCUGGUUGGACAGAGGUUGCCGACGUAGCACGAUCACCCCCUCUAGUCAUGGGGGGCUGCCUGCCUAAUCCCAGAGCCUCAAAGGUCUCCGGGAUCAUGUCCGACUAUGGGCCGAAUACAAGAUCGCCCCCGCCGUCGACACUCAUGGGAGCCGCCGCUCCCGUAUAUCCGGCCCCUGAGGUAUGCCCCUCCUGGUCUAGGUCCUUUUGGGACGACACCUCGGUGUCAUGCCCGAGCUUCGGGGAAGGGGCCUUCGGAGGUGUCUCGCUCUCUAGGGCGUCCGAGCUCAACGAAUCCUCCGAUGAGGACUGUUCUACGCGAUACCUAGCCGGACUACAAAAAGUAUGGCACCAAUUAAUUUAUUAUGCCUCAAUAAUCAUGGACGCAUAGAUGUGUUCGGUUUUUGUGUACUCACGAGUCUUCCAGGGGCUGGGCCCUGGGAUCCCACUCCGGGCUGCUAUCGGUAGCCGUAGUGGACGCCUCUGGCAGGGGAGUUUUUCCCCUCUUAGGCAAUUCAGCCUCCAGAGAUGAGGAGGCCAUCCUUUUCUCCCCCCCCCCGUGGGGGACUCGUCUUCUUCCUCCUCCUCUUCCUCUUCAGAGGAGAGAUGGGUAUUGGAGUCUUCAGAUUUUGUGUCCGAAGCACCGCGACGACGGAGGCCACUCCUUGUCUCCUUGGCCUCUUUAUGGGCCUCUUUCUUUGGCGCCUCGUAAGGCGCCAGGACCAGCAUCUUCGUCAGAAGUGGUCCGGCUGGUUCUUCUGGCACCGGGGCUGGACAGUGUAUCCGCCUCGCCCUCUUCGUCCAUCCCUAGGAUAAUUGUGGGAAGCGCGUUAGGGCAUCUUCCCCGGGAUAUGACAAUGAAACAUAUGGAUGGACAAAAUAUAAUGACUACUUACCGGACUUGCAGGGCGGGACAGUUGGUACCCGCGGUCCGCGGUGGAGUCCGGCCACGGUUUGCCGGACUUAAAAAGCACCUUCCAGAUGUCCUUGUGUGAUGAGCCAUAAAGCUCUCGCAGGGUCUGGUGCUCGGCCAGAUCAUACUCCCACAAAUUGCAGGCUCGGUGCUGACAAGGAAGAACCAGGCGGACCAACAUCACCUGGACUACGUCAACAAGCUUGAUGACCUUGUGUUCCAUACCUUUUACGCGUGUGUGGAGAAGGCGAUACUCAAAUUUGUGGCUGGGUGCAUCUGCGGAAGUACUUGCUGAUCUUACCAUGUCAGGUUGUCCUUUGCCCCUCUUAGAUGUUGUAAUGUGUUCUUCACAUGUGACAACACUAAGUGAACCAUUUUGGGCUUCAUUUGCAUUCUAGCAUGGUGGUCUCUCCUAUAGCUAGCUAUAAAUGUUGGCAGUUUCUUCCCUUUUUCUUUGGUGUUGUGGUGCUAAUAGUUAGCAUAGCUGUAGUCGGUGCCCUGUUAUUAUUUGUUAAGUUAGGAUGCUUACGUUGUUUCGUUGUGUAUGUAAGCUGACAAGUAGUACAUCUCCAUUUUUUCAGUUUCAGAAAAAAAAAUGCACUGGAUUGUGCCGGCUGGGGUGCUCUGGCUGGAUUUGGAAAGAAAGAAACAUAUAUAUUGGAGAUGCAUGCGUUUAGAUUUUUUUUUUGCCAUGAGUUCAAUAGUCUCUGUUAAAUCACAGUAAUUUUGUUGCUCUGGCGAGCAGGUUUUCUUAUACAUAUAUUUAUUUUGAAAAUUCAUAGAUGGAUGAAAUGCUGCUGAGACGUUACAAGAUAUUCCAGCAGAGGCAUCCUUACCGUCCGCAUUACAAGGAUAUGAGAACAUUGGGGUCCUGAAGGCAGUGACCUGUUUACCAUAUACAUAUUUACUUCCUUUCUAGGGCGGAACAAUGGAAGGCACAAUUCCAAAUUUUCAAGUACAGCUCUUCAAGAACAGGAUCUCUGAAGGAACAACAAUUUACAAGCUUGGCGCUUACCAGGUUCAAUAUGCUAGGGAAAGAUACAAAACUGUAGAUCGUCCAUGGAGAGUAGUGUUUGCCCAAAAAACUACCGUGGAACCAAUUGUGCCUCAGCCACCAAACUUUCCCAAGUAUGGAUAUACCACCUACAAUGUACACAGUACCAAAGCUGCAUUAAACAAAUCGUUUUGUUGUCAGGUCAGCAACUCUUAAGAAUUGUUUUUAUUGUAUAAUUUUCCACUUCUUACAACUUUCAAUUUACUGAACUUGUGAAUGUUGGAUUAGUUACCAGCAUCACAAGAAUAUUUGCGCCGAGCGGCGGAUCGAUUGACCAGAUAUGAGAAAAUCACAUCACAAAUGUGCACCAACUUUUAUCAUUUUUCAUUCCGUGUUCUUAUCUCUCCACUGAAACAAUGAUAUAUCUUUCCAGAAUUCCCGCCGUUGUGAUGUUUUGGGGAAAAUUAGCAGAUGCCCUUGAUAGUUACAAGCUACAACGGUGGUCUGCUCAAGAACCCAUUAUAGUUCUAUUUGUUGGCAUGCCAGUACAUGAAUUUAAUGUAAGUACGUAUCGUCAUCUUAUAUCCAUCCUGCACAAUUUAGAUAAGAAAUUAAAAUUACCCGUUAAAUUUUUUGUACAGGAAACUUGACCUUCAAGUCCUGUCUGGCAACUCGAUGGUACAUAAAUCCAACUAUUUCUGAAGCGGCAGCUAUUCUAGGAAGGUACACACAGCACAAAUGAUCCAUCUGUGCAACUAAUUUUCAAUAAUCCAGCAUCUGUGUUGACAAAUUUCACAAUAUCUCAGAUCUACUGCAAGAUCCCAUCAAAUUGAGAUAAGCACCAGCUCACAGGGUCAUCGCUAGGCAACAAAUACAACAAACACAUAAUUAUCAGCCGUUGACCCUGGUGGAAUCAUGGUAUGUUGUCAUUGCUAUCAAAGCUACACUAAUGUCUUUCUCCGAGUAACAAUAUUUGGUUUCUUUCUAAAAUAGAUUGACCUGAUGUAACUUGCAGGACCAGUACUAUAAACUGGAAAUAAAGAGAACUGAAGUGUCCCCUUCCAUGGCGUUGGGGGGCCUUUCUCUGCCAGGCGCGGUGGCUCCUUGGUAGGUCGAUGCAGCUUGCUCGGCGGAGGCUAGGAGGCUCGUCGGCCGACAUUUCGUUGAUGCAUGGGUGCCAUAUUGCGAUGGAAAGGCAGUAUAAUAUACAAAACUUUGACGAGGCUCACCUGCUUCAAAAUUUCACAAUAAGGUUUGCCUUUUUUCUCUUUGCAUUUAUUCUGUUAAGUCUUCAGAUUGUUUGUGUUGGCCGACGAAAAAAGAUUUAGGGUCCUAGAUUUCUACUUUAUAUCACUCUGAAAGCCCACUAACCAAUCCAUGCAUUUGGACUUCAGUAGAUAUAAUGGACUAUAUUCACUCACGUUGGCCACAACCUAUUUGAAGAAAUUUCUCUUUUGAUUUAUUGGUGUGAAGUUGUUGUUUCAUAGAUAUAUCUAAGCAAGGAAAGUUUGUUGUAGAGAUAUAUGCAUGUUCUGGCCUUCUAUUCUCGUCCUUUUCAUGUUCGAGAUCAGCGUACUCAUUAGAUUAAAUUUUAGUAUUGCAUCGUUAAGCACUUUCUGGAAUAACAUGCAAUAGGUGUAUGUUCUAUAACCUCUACGCUUUAGCUGGAAAUGGCAACUUGAUUGAACUCGAUCGGUGGUAAGCUUACCUAAAUUCAUACGUACAUAAACAAACUGCACUUCCAUCUCCCUGUAGUCAUAAAGAAGUAUACUGUAAAAUUCAUAGAUGAUCAAUACUAUUUCAUUUGCAUAAACAAACUCAAGGCAUGUACAAAUUUUGGAUCACGAUCUACUAUUUACCAUGCAUCAGUUAACUCAAGGCAUCGACCAAAAUCUAGCGUUCUUUGUUGCGUGCAGCAUGGAGAAGACAGAGAUUGUCUGAUAUAUUCGAUACGCAAUAUAAUUUUCUCUUGCAUAUUUAUAAUCUGCCAUUUGAAUGAUGUUUUUUGUGUUGUAGUCCAAUCAAGACAACUUGCAACUUUGGUGUUGUCACAUUGGAGUCCGUGCUGAGCAGCAAUGGGAGACUGUCGUUGAUGCCCGACCCAUGAUGCCGACGAAGGAACGAGAGUCGAUGAGGAGUAGACGCCAUGGGUUUGUGAACUGGCCAAGCCACCGUUGUCCGUUUGGUAAUGUGACUUGCCCUGAUUUUGACGUCGUCUACCAACAUCCGACGAAGGGAACCCGUCCCGGUUUCCAUCUUGAUGGUAAGUUCUCUAAUCUUCUAUCUCAUGGGAUGUGAUGUGGUUGCCUUCAUUUUGGCUUUUGACAAAGGGUUGAAAUUAGCUUAUGUGCUUCCGACGAUUGAAAUUCCAGUUAUAUUAUCAACCUUCAGCGAGCAGUGACAACGAACUCCAUCCCCCCACCACACCACACCCAUGUUUCAUUUGAUGUGCUUUAAGCCAUGUUUCAGCUUGUCUCGACCCAGCAUGUAUUUUUUGUUUCAGUUGUUGAGCUCNNNNNNNNNNGCACUACAAAACUGAGAAAGACCCAUAACUUUUUACAGGUCAGCCAUGUUUACUAAAAUAUAUAAUUUCUAAAACAUUUCCAGCAAUAUGUGAGUUGUUUGCUUGCUCAACCUUACGCUAGGAUCGUUUCUACAUACUACAAAUAGAGGGAAGUUGGCUUGUGCCUUACUAGAGACAGAUGAACCAAUAAAAUGAUUGGAAAGGCUCUUUCCAAGCAUAAGGUAAGCUGAAUCUUGUACAACUUACUUCCUAAUGUAUUUUGGUCAGUAUGUUGUUUAUUUUAUGAAAUUGAUACUCCAUUGUAGAGGAGCUUUUGAAGGGACUGAAGAACCGGAACCUCCCCUCCUCCCUCCCGCGACGCUCCCGCAGGCGUCCGGGGGGCAACCCUAGCACCGCCGCCGGUCCCCCCUCCUCCUCUCCCUCCGCCCUCGCGGCCGCCCGGGGGCGCGAGCGGGCGAAGCCCGCUCAUCGCUGGCGGCGGCGGGGCCUUCUCGUCUCCGCGCGUGGGGGUUUCUNNNNNNNNNNNNNNNNNNNNNNNNNNNNNNNNNNNNNNNNNNNNNNNNNNNNNNNNNNNNNNNNNNNNNNNNNNNNNNNNNNNNNNNNNNNNNNNNNNNNNNNNNNNNNNNNNNNNNNNNNNNNNNNNNNNNNNNNNNNNNNNNNNNNNNNNNNNNNNNNNNNNNNNNNNNNNNNNNNNNNNNNNNNNNNNNNNNNNNNNNNNNNNNNNNNNNNNNNNNNNNNNNNNNNNNNNNNNNNNNNNNNNNNNNNNNNNNNNNNNNNNNNNNNNNNNNNNNNNNNNNNNNNNNNNNNNNNNNNNNNNNNNNNNNNNNNNNNNNNNNNNNNNNNNNNNNNNNNNNNNNNNNNNNNNNNNNNNNNNNNNNNNNNNNNNNNNNNNNNNNNNNNNNNNNNNNNNNNNNNNNNNNNNNNNNNNNNNNNNNNNNNNNNNNNNNNNNNNNNNNNNNNNNNNNNNNNNNNNNNNNNNNNNNNNNNNNNNNNNNNNNNNNNNNNNNNNNNNNNNNNNNNNNNNNNNNNNNNNNNNNNNNNNNNNNNNNNNNNNNNNNNNNNNNNNNNNNNNNNNNNNNNNNNNNNNNNNNNNNNNNNNNNNNNNNNNNNNNNNNNNNNNNNNNNNNNNNNNNNNNNNNNNNNNNNNNNNNNNNNNNNNNNNNNNNNNNNNNNNNNNGUUGCCCGUCCGGGCCCUUGCGGCAGGUCGAUGUCACACGGCGCUGGAGACUCCCCUGGUGGCCAUCCAUGGAUGCGGCGGUGGGCUCUGCUUCCUCAUUAGAUUAAAUUUUGGUAUUACAUUUUUUAGCACUUAAUGUGAAUGUUCUAUAGUCUCUAUUGUGCAGGCGGGUCUACUCUCCCUCUUGAGGCGAGUGUGGAUGUAAUGGAUAUUGAUUGUGGUUGUUCGGACAAAAAUAUUGCAUGGAAACAUUAUAUACUGAUGGUGAGACUUCCAAUUCCUUUAUGUUUUGUCCGUUUAAUCAAGAAC